AGUCAUAUGCUUGUCUCAAAGAUUAAGCCAUGCAUGUCUAAGUUCAAGCGAAAAUAAAGUGAAACCGCGAAUGGCUCAUUACAUCAGUUAUGGUUCCUUAGAUUGCACUUACUACUUGGAUAACUGUGGUAAUUCUAGAGCUAAUACAUGCACUGAGCUCCAACCCUCGUGGAAGGAGCGCUUUUAUUAGAUCAAAGCCAAUCGGGCCUUCGGGUCCGUACCGUUGGUGACUCUGAAUAACUUUGCUGAUCGCAUGGUCUCGUACCGGCGACGUAUCUUUCAAGUGUCUGCCUUAUCAACUGUCGAUGGUAGGUUAUGCGCCUACCAUGGUUGUAACGGGUAACGGGGAAUCAGGGUUCGAUUCCGGAGAGGGAGCCUGAGAAACGGCUACCACAUCCAAGGAAGGCAGCAGGCGCGCAAAUUACCCACUCCCGGCACGGGGAGGUAGUGACGAAAAAUAACGAUACGGAACUCAUACGAGGCUCCGUAAUCGGAAUGAGUACACUUUAAAUCCUUUAACGAGGAUCUAUUGGAGGGCAAGUCUGGUGCCAGCAGCCGCGGUAAUUCCAGCUCCAAUAGCGUAUAUUAAAGUUGUUGCGGUUAAAAAGCUCGUAGUUGGAUCUCGGUUUCGGGCGGAUGGUGCACCUCGCGGUGUUUACUUUCUGCCCGGACGAUUUUGUUGGUUCGUUCGUGGUUCUCUUAACCGGGUGCCACGGGUGGCCAGCACGUUUACUUUGAAAAAAUUGGAGUGCUCAAAGCAGGCGCUACAGCCUGAACAUUAGUGCAUGGAAUAAUGGAAUAGGACCUCGGUUCUAUUUCGUUGGCUUCGGAGUCGA
rnacentral:rRNA from 1 species